UGGGGAAUAUUGGACAAUGGGCGAAAGCCUGAUCCAGCCAUGCCGCGUGUGUGAAGAAGGUCUUCGGAUUGUAAAGCACUUUAAGUUGGGAGGAAGGGCAGUAAGCGAAUACCUUGCUGUUUUGACGUUACCGACAGAAUAAGCACCGGCUAACUCUGUGCCAGCAGCCGCGGUCAUACAGAGGGUGCAAGCGUUAAUCGGAAUUACUGGGCGUAAAGCGCGCGUAGGUGGUUCGUUAAGUUGAAUGUGAAAGCCCCGGGCUCAACCAGGGAACUGCAUCCAAAACUGGCGAGCUAGAGUAGGGCAGAGGGUGGUGGAAUUUCCUGUGUAGCGGUGAAAUGCGUAGAUAUAGGAAGGAACACCAGUGGCGAAGGCGACCACCUGGGCUCAUACUGACACUGAGGUGCGAAAGCGUGGGGAGCAAACAGG
rnacentral:rRNA from 1 species